GGCGUAUGCAGCUUUAUACGCGGGAAAAUGAAAGUUAGUUUACCUUGGUGCAUGUGCAUUGAUUCACAAGUAUCUACAAAAUGUUUUGGAGUGUUGCUUUCAACUGAGUCUAGAAGUAGAACCCGCCAAAAGAAAUUCGGGAGAAAAUACUUCCUGAAAAUGUAAAUUCCGUAUGCAAUCAAUUUGAACUUGACAAAGAGGGAAGAUUUAUAGUAAAAACGAGAAAAUUGGCAAACCGAGGAACAGAGUAGGUUUCUUUUGGUGGAAGUAAAAUAAAACUAGACCAGUAAAAGAUAUGAAAUAGAAGAAAAGAAAAAAAAAAGAAAUUGUAACUUCGAAUGCUUUGUUACACUUUGUGAACGGAUUUCUUUAGACUGUUGUUACCUAUAUAUUUCAGAAAGCUUAUUGGAUGUUCUUCAAAGAAAAUUUAUCGUAAACUUUGCCGGAUAUUGCACAGAGAGAUCCAUUUAUAUUCACUAUCGGAAAAGAUUUGUUCUGCAGUGCGUAUCUCAAUAAGCUAUGUAUUCUGCUUCUAAACAAAUGAAAUUUUUUAUUUGCUUUCGAAGAGAUGAAAUCUGGGCUGGAAAAA